UACGUAGGGCGCAAGCGUUGUCCGGAAUUAUUGGGCGUAAAGAGCUCGUAGGCGGCCUGUCACGUCCGCUGUGAAAUCCCGGGGCUCAACCCCGGGCCUGCAGUGGAUACGGGCUGGCUGGAGGCAGGCAGGGGAGAACGGAAUUCCUGGUGUAGCGGUGAAAUGCGCAGAUAUCAGGAGGAACACCGGUGGCGAAGGCAGCUCGCUGGGACGGUACUGACGCUGAGGCGCGAAAGCGUGGGGAGCAAACAGG
rnacentral:rRNA from 1 species